rnacentral:rRNA from 1 species
AGAGUUUGAUCAUGGCUCAGGACGAACGCUGGCGGCGUGCUUAACACAUGCAAGUCACGGGGGCCCGCAAGGGCAACCGGCGAACGGGUGCGUAACACGUGAGCAACCUGCCCGCUUCUGGGGGAUAGCCGGCCCAACGGCCGGGUAAUACCGCAUACGUUCGCUUCGGGGCAUCUCGAGGCGAGGAAAGCAGCGAUGCGGAAGCGGAGGGGCUCGCGGCCUAUCAGCUUGUUGGUGGGGUAACGGCCCACCAAGGCGACGACGGGUAGCUGGUCUGAGAGGAUGGCCAGCCACAUUGGGACUGAGAGACGGCCCAGACUCCUACGGGAGGCAGCAGUGGGGAAUCUUGCGCAAUGGCCGAAAGGCUGACGCAGCGACGCCGCGUGGGGGAGGAAGGCCUUCGGGUUGUAAACCCCUGUUGCCCGGGACGAACCCCUGGUUUCGACCAGGUUGACGGUACCGGGUGAGGAAGCACCGGCUAACUCCGUGCCAGCAGCCGCGGUAAUACGGAGGGUGCGAGCGUUGUCCGGAAUCACUGGGCGUAAAGGGCGCGUAGGCGGCCGCGUAAGCGUGUGGUGAAAGCUCGGGGCUCAACCCCGAGUCGGCCAUGCGAACUGUGCGGCUCGAGCCCACUAGAGGCAGGCGGAAUUCCGGGUGUAGCGGUGGAAUGCGUAGAGAUCCGGAAGAACACCGGUGGCGAAGGCGGCCUGCUGGGGUGGAGCUGACGCUGAGGCGCGACAGCGUGGGGAGCAAACAGGAUUAGAUACCCUGGUAGUCCACGCCGUAAACGAUGGGCACUA